rnacentral:rRNA from 1 species
AGAAUUUGCGAUCAAAGUGGUGGGAGCGGCAGACGGGUGAGUAAUACGUUGGAACCUGCCCCAAAGUCAGGGAUAACCAGUAGAAAUAUUGGCUAAUACCGGAUAGUCACGAAAGUGUAAAGCUUUUGCGCUUUGGGAGGGGCCUGCGGUCUAUCAGCUUGUUGGUAAGGUAAUGGCUUACCAAGGCUAUGACGGAUAGCUGGUUUGAGAGAAUGAUCAGCCACAAUGGAACUGAGACACGGUCCAUACUCCUACGGGAGGCAGCAGUGAGGAAUCUUCCGCAAUGGGCGAAAGCCUGACGGAGCAACACCGCGUGAAGGAUGAAGGUCGUAAGAUUGUAAACUUCUUUUCUGAGGGAAGAAUUCUGACGGUACCUCAGGAAUAAGCAUCGGCUAACUACGUGCCAGCAGCCGCGGUAAGACGUAGGAUGCAAGCGUUAUCCGGAAUUAUUGGGCAUAAAGAGUUCGUAGGCGGUUUGUUAAGUUGGAUGUUAAAUUUUUGAGCUCAACUUAAAAAAAGUAUCCAAAACUGGCAAACUGGAGACUGGUAGAGGUAAGUGGAAUUCUGCAUGUAGGGGUAAUAUCCGUAGAUAUGCAGAGGAACACCAAAAGCGAAGGCAGCUUACUGGACCAGUUCUGACGCUCAAGAACGAAAGCGUGGGUAGCGAACGGGAUUAGAUACCCCGGUAGUCCACGCCCUAAACGAUGAACACUAGGUAUUGGAGGUCUCGACCCCUUCAGUGCCGACGCAAAUGCAAUAAGUGUUCCGCCUGGGUAGUACGAGCGCAAGCUUAAAACUCAAAGGAAUAGACGGGGACCCACACAAGCGGUGGAGCAUCUGGUUUAAUUCGACAAUAAGCGAGGAACCUUACCAAGGCUUGACAUCCCGAGAAGAUCGCCGAAAGGUGAUUGUGCCGUUAGGAACUCGGUGACAGGUGCUGCAUGGUUGUCGUCAGCUCGUGCCUUGAGGUGUUCGGUUAAGUCACGUGAAGCGAGCCGCAACCCUCUGUCUCAUAGUUGCAUAUUUCUUGAGAGACUGCCGGUUUCAAAUCGGAGGAAGGUAAGGAUGACGUCAAAUCAGCAUGGCCCUUAUGUCUUGGGCGACACAGGUGCUACAAUGGCCGGUUCAAUGGGCAGCGAAGGAGCAAUCUGGAGCAAAUC